CCUACGGGAGGCAGCAGUGAGGAAUAUUGGUCAAUGGGCGCGAGCCUGAACCAGCCAAGUCGCGUGAGGGAAGACGGCCCUACGGGUUGUAAACCUCUUUUGCCGGGGAGCAACGGGCGCCACGUGUGGCGCCAUUGAGAGUACCCGGAGAAAAAGCAUCGGCAAACUCCGUGCCAGCAGCCGCGGUAAUACGGGGGAUGCGAGCGUUAUCCGGAUGUAUGGGGUUUAAAGGGUGCGUAGGCGGAGCGUAAAGUCAGUGGCCAAAUUGAGGGGCCAAACCCUUCACCGCCAUUGAAACUGGCGCACUUGAGUGGAAGAGAAGUAUGCGGAAUGCGUGGUGUAGCGGUGGAAUGCAUAGAUAUCACGCAGAACCCCGAUUGCGAAGGCAGCAUGCCGGCUUCCUACUGACGCUGAAGCACGAAAGCGUGGGGAUCGAACAGGAUUAGAUACCCUGGUAGUC
rnacentral:rRNA from 1 species